CCUUCUUUAUAUUUUCAGCCAUACUGGCAGCCACAUAACAGAACAGUUGCAAGAAGAAUUCAAAACAUGGGGUGGAGAGCUGAUGGUGGUCUUUGGCUCCUUGUUCGCGGAGGGGACUUUAUCUAAGCAAAGGUACCGGGUUAACUGAGGAUUUUGAAGAAGUUCCAGUCCAAAGCCGGGGGUUUGCCAUUCUUGAUGUUGGGUACCGAUCAAAGGAUGAGGCUUGGGCAGCAGGGGGAAGUGGGAUUUUACUGCAAACUAACAAUGGUGGUAAGACAUGGACCCGUGACAAAGCAGCAGAUAAUAUUGCAGCCAAUCUAUACUCCGUGAAGUUUAUUGAUGACAAUAAAGGAUUUGUGCUGGGGAAUGAUGGGGUCUUGCUUCGGUAUCUUGGAUAAGGGUUUAAUCUACACAUCUCUUGGGCAUUCUUAAAAUAUGUUAUCUCGUCGUUUAGAGUCGUUUUAUUGACAUGUGCAUUUAUGCAGGUCAAUUUUGUAGUGGUGAUGUAACACAUAUAUGAUCGAUCACGUAUCCAAAGCUGCCAAGAGGGGUCAAUGCCUCAUUCAUUUGAUAUUGUAAUUUUUCUGUAAAUUAUUACCAUCCACGGACAGAUCUUGGCAAUAUUUUUACACCUUCAUAGUAAGAGAAUUUGUAUAAGCCGUUUCAAAGCCA